ACAAGCGAUAAAGACCAGCCUCGUACAGCUACUCAAGUGCCGUGUUGUAUGCAACGAGUCUUCAAAAAUGAACGAUGCAUAAGAUCUCGUCCAGUCUUACGGGAAAGCAAGCACAACCUUCGCAACACCUCGCGUAAAUUUCCCCUUUCACCAAGGUUCAAGACGGUAAGCGGACAUAUAAACCCCCGCGUGUAUGUGUCGUGCCCGGCGGGGACUUUUCAUGGCCAUCCUGCAAGCGUUGCACCUGAUAGGAUGCUUAAACCGUGCCUUGCGAGGGGACUUAAGGGCGUACGAGAAUU